rnacentral:rRNA from 1 species
UUUUCAAAAACAUGUCCUUUUGUAUAUAUCAAUAUAAGGUCUGACCUGCCCUAUGAUUUAACUAUUAAAUGGCCGCAGUAUCUUAACUGUGCGAAGGUAGCAUAAUCAUUUGUCUUUUAAUUGAGGACUAGUAUGAAUGGUUUGAUGAAGGAUAAACUUUCUUUAUUAUAUUGAAUAAUAAUUUAAUCUAUAAGUAAAAAAGCUUAUAUUAUAUUAAAAGACGAGAAGACCCUAUAGAGCUUUAAUUAUAUAACAUUCAUAUAAUAUUGAUUAUUAAUAAUAAGUAUGGAAAGUAAUUUUUGUUGGGGUGACAAUUAAAUUAAAUUAACUUUAAUUUAAAAAAUUAUCAUUAAUUAAUGAUUAAAAUUGAUCCAAUAUUAUUGAUUAAAAGAAUAAGCUACCUUAGGGAUAACAGCGUAAUUUUAUUGGAGAGUUCAUAUUAAUAAUAAAGUUUGCGACCUCGAUGUUGGAUUAAAAUAAGUUUUAGGCGCAGAAGCUUAAUAACUAAGUCUGUUCGACUUUUAAAUUUUUACAUGAUUAGUUUUC